GUUAAGAAUCCAUAUAUUUUCCCUCAAAUAUCUCCAUGUCUUCUAACCUGUUACCAUAAUUUCCAUGUGGCUUUUUGAGCACAGUUUAAAAUCACAAAUUUUGUGAAUUAUAAGCAUUUUUCUAAAUCACACCAUAAAGAGAUACCUGCAUAAAGUAAGACGCUAUUGUAUUAUAAAAUACACUUUUGAAAUAAAAAGUUUAGUUAGGACUCACUAGAAAUGACCACCUCAAUUUUUCAGGAGCACCCUUCAGGGUAUGGAAUUAGUGAGUACUCCUGUGGUAGUUUAGUCUAGGCCUUCCUUGGUGACCAGUUUGUAACCAAGGAAGUGCCCAGAUUUACCCAGUAUUCCCUAUGAUUUUUACGUAAGCCGGGGUAUAAGAAGAAAGGAGGAAAGGCCUUCAUCCCUUUUUCCUUCCAGCAGCUUUGGAGGUGCAGGUUCCCUGCUGUUGAGUCUGCCGUGUUGGGGAGCGAGGCCUGGUAAGGCCUUGCUGACCUUGGGAGACGGAGGUUGCCGGCGAUCGUUCCAGAGCAAUUUCUGUUGUCCCAAGGAGAGUAGUGAGAUAUUCUUUUGCUAAUUCUUUUAGUUGCUAGAUCUUGGGCUAUUGAUCGUGUAUAUUUUACUUUGGUUUUGUUCCUUUUUUUUCCUUCCCCCUUCCCUUUUCCUUUUAAAAUUGUACAUAUAUUUCAAUUGUAUAUAAAUGUAAUAUAAGUGUAAGUAUAUUUAUAUAUAUUGCUUUAGCUGCCUCUCUCUCGUGAGGUUUGGAGACUUGGCAGGGAGCCAGCUUCAAACCACCUCAACUCCAUAUUUUAAAAGACUUGUUAUUAGUUCUGUAGGUCUAACCCUUGCUAUACCACUGUCAAGUGUUUUGGAUGAGUAAAAUUUUGUGUGCUAAUCCUAUUCCCAGUAAAGGCAACUAGAAACUGUAUUUCCCCGUCUGUACCAUUUAGGUAACACUUAUUUUGACCAACCUUUGAGAAGGAGAAAUAAGUUACAUUCAUCAAAUUAUUUGAAAACUCAGAGCAUUAUAAAGAAAUUUGUUAACAGAAUUUGUGAAGAACACACCUUUGGUGAAAAAGGUAUGGUAUAAUAAAAAUCUAAAUACAGUCUUCAGCUAACCAGAAUGACUUUUCAUGUACUAGAAGGAGGAGUUGCAUGUUUCAGCAAUCUCCUUUCUAAAGCCUUUUUAUAACCAUGAAGCAUAUGGCUAAGAAUCAAUGCAGUGAGAUCAGACUGAAGUUUAUUGAGUUACACAGAGAUCUCAUUUAUCUUUGGUUUUGGAAGGCAGGGUUAGGUAGGCUAUAUUUUCACAUUAACAUCUGUAGAGCAUUCCAAAAUCCUGGCAUGGCCAAUGACAUGGAAGUUCCAGGUCCUAUGAUUUAUUGUCCUCCAGUAGACAUAAAUUAGUCUGUAUAGAUGGAAUCCUUUCACUUCAACUACAGUAGAUAAUGCAAAAUAAUGUUAGCUGACAAGUUUUUUUCUUCACUUGUUUUUUUGAAAUUAAUUUACGAGUCAUUACAAUUUUGUUCAGCAUUAAACCUCUGUAUGUGUAUCCACAGACAUUCUCCACUCAUUCAUUUGGCUGAAAUUAAGACAAGAAACAGCUGAAUAGGUCCUACAGUGCAUUUGCAUAUUACACCCCUGCAUUCAACAGGCAAACCUACAUCUAAUAAUAAAUACUGAAGAGAACAGAAUGAGUCCAUGGGUGUCAAUUUUUCUGGAGUCAUGUAAUGACAAGAAAAACUCACCUGUUGUAUUAAGUGAAAGCAGUUGUUGGAGAUAAAGCCACUUAAAUAAGGAGCCUACCAUGUUCCUUAUCAGCUCUGGGUUAUGAAAGUGGGUUAAAAUGCAGUUCAAUACAAUGCAUGUUGCAAACAUCUAAUCACAAGCAGACAAAAGAAGUCUGCACUAGACAGUGCUCCACUCUCAGUCUCCUAUAAAAACACAGAUGGUAAAAUGUUUCUUUGGCCACUGAUGCUACUUGAUCAUUGCCAACAGCUAGAAAUCCAGUAGGAUUUGUAGCUCAUGAAUACUUCCACAAAUUUUUCUGGUAGUUUCCCUUAAACUAGAACCAGUAUUUUCUUUCUUUUCUUUUGACUGAGCUUCUGCCAACCAACUUACUUUUGUGCAGCAACCAGUUCUCCAAAAUACAGUGACAGACUGCUCAGACCAUCUUAAAAGAAAAAAUCUUGUGUUGAUAGGAUUAUGACAGCAACAAGCCUGUAGCUCUCCAUUCCUGUUGGAUUUUGAUGCCAGGAGAGUUCCCCUAGGAGAUAAGAACUUCUUCAAACUCCCUGGGGGAAUGUUUUGCAGGAAAGGAACACUUCAAAUCUGGUUUGUCCGCUGAACCAACAGUGCUAAAAGUCUGUUUGAAUGCUAUAGCAAACACAUGAAGUACAGCACAGGCAAGUAACUUUACCUUACAAAUCAUAUCGUUUUCAUUUCCUGAAUUCAUAACCACAGUGAUGCAAUAAUGGAAACUUUUAUAUGUUUAUAAGUUAGAUGACCCACAAUCAUUCCCUACAGUAAGCACUAGUAAUUUCUGACUAUUAAAAUAAUUGUUAUAUUCUAUUGCUAUGGUUUGCUUAAUGGGGGAGUUUUCUAUUUCACAUACCAUAUUACAUAAGCAACAAGAUUUCCUACCUUAGCCAACAGUACUGGAUGUGACUAAUUUCUAACAUUCUUUUUGGAAGUCAAAAUAAACAUCCACUCAGUUUUCUUUGUUUGCCAUCUCAACACUCUAAGCAGGCUGGCCUUCUCACAAAUUCAUGUUGGUUGUCCCUAAUUAACUUUUUUUUCUUUUUAAAAUGUUUGAAUUACAUCCAUUUAGAUUAUUUCCAUUUAAACUCCCUUUCAUCUAACAUUAAUCCCCAAUUGUUGUAUUUCAUUUAAAUGACAAUCCCACGUUAUAAUUUAAAUUAAACUUUCAAUUAAAAUAGACUGUUCAGAUUUACAAAAAAAAGUCAUUGAUGUGGUGAAUAAUGAUGGGAAAAAUGGAGAUACCCUCUUCAAAACUCUAUAUACAAAGUACUGUAUUACAGGAUCAGAUCUUAAAACACUACCAUGUCUGAUCAAGAAAGUUAAUAUGUACAGUUAUAGAAUACUUAGAGGGAUUGCUUUAGGAUAUUAUUUUGUAAUCCCUCACUUCUUCUUAAAUUACCCUCCAUCUCAGUAUCUUGUGCUAGUUAGAGGUAGAAGUUAAUUUGCUCUCUCAGCUUCUGCCAUAGCUGCCUCACCUAUGUAAUUAGCAAAACUGCUGACAAGACACCUUGCAGAUUUUCUCAAAGAGAGUUCCUCUGAAGGAAAACAAACCUGUCCUUCUGUAGAAUAACACUCAAAGUAGCUGUGCAAGGUUGGUUUCUACUCUUCACACUGCUAACUAAUACUUAUGCAUCUGCUUCACACCUUCAGUGCAGUAGCUGCUUUCCAGACACUUGAGAAGGGCAGCCUGUUAUCUUUCAGACAGCAGAUCAAACUAGAUGUGCCAUUUAAGCAAAAUAACCACAGAAUAGCUUGCUAAAAGUAACAACCGCACUGAGGCUCAACAGAUGAGAUGCAAUGAAGAAAUUCUGUCUAUACAAUCUGCUUCAUCCAUUUCUUUUCAUAAUUAAUUUUAAUCUUUGCAUCCUAUGUCUCAUACUUAAUUUGUUUAAUUGGCUGAAGUCUAGAAUGGCCUCCAGCUGUCUAGACCAUUGAACUAGGAAUGCAACCCUGCACUAACUCAAAGUACACUGCCCCAAUUUUUGCUCCUGGAGAUUUAUGUGAGCAGUUAUUCACACUGCUUGUGAAUAACUAGUUUGUCUAGUUUGUGUUUGCAAGGUACUUCCUGUUCUAUUUGUUUUAAUUGCCUACCUGUUAUUCUACCAAAGCAUUACCUGACUACCAGUGUAUUUACCAUAAAUACACAUCUGUUUUGCAAACAAUUAUGGGUUUUCUUGGUGUGGAUCUUCUAUCAUUCUGUUCUUUCAUUUGCUUACAAGGUAUAUUUUAUGGUCUUCUAUGACAUUAAUUAUAUUAUUGUGUUUAUUUGCUUCACUACAAUGAAGUAUUUAUCUUUCCUCUCCCACAUCAUAUUUUUUCUUUUUUACAGGUGCAUGACCACAUGGCAUAAGAGCAGAAAGUUUCUGCAUAUUUGAUCUUAACUUUCCCAUACACAAUCUCUGCUGGAAAUUUUAUGUGUUACAUUUAUUUUUCAGAGUCAGUUCUCUGUGGCACUUUAGUAAAUAGUCAUUUAACUAAGAACACUGUGAUUUUAAAAUACUCAGCAUUACAGAUUUUGAUUUUCUUAAUCAAAACACAAUUUACCAUAGCUCCUAAAGUUUCACUCAUUGUUCUACUUUCUGACACAGGAGAUACAAUUGGGCUGUGUACCUGUGGUUUAGGGUGUAUUAAGCCAACAUUUUCAUGGCUUCAUUUCACAAUGUACAUUGUGAACCAAUAGUUCCUUUGAAAUGCCAGUCCCUGAACACUUAAAAAAGGUUUUGUGAUAAGGAUCUAAGUCAAAUUAGUUGUCUCCUUCUCUCUUUCCAGCAGAAAAGAGACUUGAUGCAUUAAGAGACUUCAUCUGUCUGACGCUAUCUACCCAGUAAUUUGGCAGAGGAGAUGCGCUUUCAGUAUACUAAACUCUAACUCUCAUGAAAAUCAACAAGUGUGCAGAGGACUGUAAUCACAUUAACUGACCCACUCUAAAAAAAAUGGAGCCCAGAUCCAAACCUGAAAUUGAAGAAUCCACAGAGAGAUGUAACAGUGUACACACUUUAACUACAGAAAAGUCCCAGAUAAUCCUCAGAUCAACUGUCAGACUCAAGUCCCUCAGAAGUCCAUACCUUAUGGAACAACUCCUUCGAGAGUUUUUCUCAUCUUCUCACUUUAAUGUAGCACUGCAGAUUGUGCAUCUCACUUCUAGUUUCCAACUUUUUUUGUCUGCUUAUAUAUAUUGUUUAAUAAUUUGUAAGUUUAUUUUCUUGCAUUUCUACAUCCAUAAAGAGAGUCACCCUUUUGUAUGACUCUCUUUCAGUUAUUAAGCAGUAAAACCUCAAUAAAGUCUUCAAUAACUGUU